rnacentral:rRNA from 1 species
GAUGAACGCUGGCGGCGUGCUUAACACAUGCAAGUCGAACGGUGAACACGGAGCUUGCUCUGUGGGACCAGUGGCGAACGGGUGAGUAACACGUGAGCAACCUGCCCCUGACUCUGGGAUAAGCGCUGGAAACGGCGUCUAAUACUGGAUAUGUGACGUGACCGCAUGGUCUGCGUUUGGAAAGAUUUUUCGGUUGGGGAUGGGCUCGCGGCCUAUCAGCUUGUUGGUGAGGUAAUGGCUCACCAAGGCGUCGACGGGUAGCCGGCCUGAGAGGGUGACCGGCCACACUGGGACUGAGACACGGCCCAGACUCCUACGGGAGGCAGCAGUGGGGAAUAUUGCACAAUGGGCGCAAGCCUGAUGCAGCAACGCCGCGUGAGGGAUGACGGCCUUCGGGUUGUAAACCUCUUUUAGCAGGGAAGAAGCGAAAGUGACGGUACCUGCAGAAAAAGCGCCGGCUAACUACGUG